rnacentral:rRNA from 1 species
GAUGAACGCUAGCGGCAGGCCUAACACAUGCAAGUCGAGGGGCAGCACGUCUUCGGAUGGUGGCGACCGGCGCACGGGUGCGUAACGCGUAUGCAACCUACCUCUUACAGUGGGAUAGCCCAGAGAAAUUUGGAUUAAUACCGCAUAGUAUACAGAUUCAGCAUUGGGACUGUAUUAAACAUUUAUGGGUAAGAGAUGGGCAUGCGUUCUAUUAGUUAGUUGGAGUGGUAACGGCACCCCAAGACAGCGAUAGAUAGGGGCCCGUCGAGAGGGGGAGUCCCCCACCACUGGUACGUGAGACACGGACCAGACUCCUACGGGAGGCAGCAGUGAGGAAUAUUGGACAAUGGGCGGAGAGCCUAAUACCAGCCAUGCCGCGUGCAGGAAGACGGCCC